GCCUCUGUAGCUAAAACUUUAAAGCAUUGGUCUUGUAAACCAAAGAUGGACACCAAAAUGUCCCUGAGACA
rnacentral:tRNA from 1 species